CAAGUGACCCCGGUCUAACCACCGGGAUGUUCAUACCCUUUGUUGUCCGACUCUGUUGCCUCCGGGGCGACCCUGCCUUCGGGCGGGGGCUCCGGGUGGACACUUCAAACUCUUGCGUAACUUUGCAGUCUGAGUAAACUUAAUUAAUAAAUUA
rnacentral:misc_RNA from 1 species